UGGGGAAUUUUGGACAAUGGGCGCAAGCCUGAUCCAGCCAUGCCGCGUGCGGGAAGAAGGCCUUCGGGUUGUAAACCGCUUUUGUCGGGGAAGAAAUGCCUUGGGCUAAUAACCUGGGGAGAUGACGGUACCCGAAGAAUAAGCACCGGCUAACUACGUGCCAGCAGCCGCGGUAAUACGUAGGGUGCGAGCGUUAAUCGGAAUUACUGGGCGUAAAGCGUGCGCAGGCGGUUGUGUAAGACAGAUGUGAAAUCCCCGGGCUCAACCUGGGAACUGCAUUUGUGACUGCACGGCUGGAGUGCGGCAGAGGGGGAUGGAAUUCCGCGUGUAGCAGCGAAAUGCGUAGAUAUGCGGAGGAACACCGAUGGCGAAGGCAAUCCCCUGGGCCUGCACUGACGCUCAUGCACGAAAGCGUGGGGAGCAAACAG
rnacentral:rRNA from 1 species